rnacentral:rRNA from 1 species
GAUGAACGCUAGCGGCAGGCCUAACACAUGCAAGUCGAGGGAGGAGCCUUCGGGCUUCGACCGGCGUACGGGUGCGUAACGCGUAUACAAUCUGCCUUUCACAUAGGGAUAGCCCGAAGAAAUUUGGAUUAAUACCUAAUGGUAUAUAGAUGUGGCAUCACCUUUAUAUUAAAGCUGAGGCGGUGAAAGAUGAGUAUGCGUUCUAUUAGCUAGUUGGAGAGGUAACGGCUCCCCAAGGCGACGAUAGAUAGGGGUUCUGAGAGGGAUAUCCCCCACACUGGUACUGAGAUACGGACCAGACUCCUACGGGAGGCAGCAGUGAGGAAUAUUGGACAAUGGUCGGAAGACUGAUCCAGCCAUGCCGCGUGCAGGAAGACGGCCCUAUGGGUUGUAAACUGCUUUUGCAGGGGAAGAAUAAGGACUACGCGUAGUUUGAUGACGGUACUCUGCGAAUAAGCAUCGGCUAACUCCGUG